AAAACGUUUCGCGAUCCCUGACCCGACCCAAGCCAGAGCGAACCGCACCCCGAAUCAUCCCGAGCCUUUCCCUCGCCGCCACCACACCUCAUCCCGCUCGCCGCCGACAUCUCCCCUCACCUCGCUCGUCGCCGCCCCUCACCCCGCUCUCUGUCGCCGCCUAACCUCACCCUGAUCUCCACUGCUGGGGGCGGCGGAGCGACAAAGUGGCUCGAUGCAGAAGGGCGGCGGCGGCGGCUGGAGUUGAAGGGGUCGGAUCCAUCCGUGGCAGGUGCUCGGGAGACGGAUCCAGAGGUGGGCGGCGAGACGGGAGUCACCGAUGAUGACGAGGAAGGCUGGAGCGCGGCUUCCCGGGCGCAUCCAUGGCAUCCGCGGCUCCUGGGCACAGAGGUGACAGGGAGGUGAGGGAGAGAAGACGGGAGAAAGGAGGGACGAUGUGGCAACCUACCUCACGGCAGCGCCCAUUACGUCGAGACGGCGUGGCCCCACGAGCUGCUACUCUGCCGUUCCCCUCCCCCUCCUCGUCGGCGGCUCCUCCCUCGCUGAAGCGCCCAGUACGGCGAGACACCGGGGCUGCAUGGGCACCGCCAGGUCAACGGCAAGGCAGCGCGAGAUCCGGGGGCGACACUGGCCAAUACGGCGACUCGGCGAGGCGCUCGAUGUAUGGCGGCUGUACGUCCUCCUUUCCGGGCUCGACCUCCUCCCGCGGUGCCCCCCACCCGCAUCACCAAGCAUCCCAACGGCGUCCACGUAUUUCCCGCUCACGUAUGCAGGAAAUUCGCCGCCAUCCUGCAGCAAUCACAGCCCGCAAAGGCCCCGCUGGAGAGGAUGAUCGUCGAGAGGCUUGAGUUCAACAUGUCUGUUCCUACUCCAUACUGCUUCAUGAGAAGGUUCCUCAAAGGCAGCAGGGUCUGACAAGAAGCUGGAGCUGCUCUCCUUCUUCCUGAUUGAGCUGACGGCGUCCGCCGUCUCCAAGCUCAUGAAUACCCCGAUUUGACAGGGAGCAGCACAUGGAUGUUGAUUUUGUUAGCUAUGUUCUUAUUGAAGCCAACAUGGCUAUGUAGUUCUCGUCACGCACAAUUUGCUUGUUUCAGCAUCAGCGGGAAGAAGAUGAUUUUAACUUUUUUGAAAUGACUAAUUCAGUGAGGAUGCUAGACAACAAAAUAGAAGGAAUGUGGAUCUCAAAACUGAAGAAAAGCAGGAGACCUUGGUGGCUCUGUCAUCAGAAAAGGAGCGAUGAAGAUUCGGAAAAAUUGAUUUUUUUACAGUAACACAUCCGCCUCAGUGUUGCUGUAAAAAAAUCAUUUCGCUAAUUCAGUUAACAUUGUUUUGUUUUUCUGUAGCAAGUUAUUCUGCGAAUUCUGAACACUAAGCAAGGAAAUCUGCACCUGCCAUUGUUCACAGAAUGAGCUAAUUCUCUGAAAAUGAGUUUUGCUUUUUUUGUAUGAGUUCUGAAUAUUGUUCAAACAAAACAGCAGCACCCAUUAUUCAACAUCAGUUUAGCCCCUUUUAACAGAAAGGAACAACUCUUUUUCUCGCUACUUCUAAUUUUGUAUUGUUUUUUUGUGUAGGUAGGAGAAAUUGAUUCUCACACCACAAAAACAACAGAACAACACGGAUGUUAUUCAGGUUGACAUACCUUCAUAGACAAUCUAACCUCUACAAGGAUGAGUAAGAGAUGAAAAACAUCAAUUGAAAGCACCGCAAAGGCAGUCUUUCACACUAAAACAACAACGCGGGCCAUGUUUUGUCCAUUGUUCUUCGUGCUGAGAGUCGGCAGACGGGCGCUGGAGGGGGUCGGCGGUGCAGCAGGGGCGCAGUGGUGCGAGGGCGUUGGCCUCGUGAACGAGGUGCGCCUCUCCUCGGAUGGAUCGGAAUUAGGAAGGGAGCUAGGGAGACUCGGGAGCGAGCUCCCGGUUGGGUGGCUGCGCUGGUUGGUACGGCGCGCAAACGCCCACCUUGACCGUCUCCGAUGAUGCAUGGCCGCCGUCGAAGUCAUGGACCCAAACCACGGGGAGCUCGCACGCUGUGCAGCGGCUGGAACUGACUGAAGGUCAUACCACAUCCAUGACUUGAAAGAUUAGAAAUGGAUCUGAAAGAUUCAAAUACAGUGCACUUACCACCAUCAGUUGAAGAACUUGGACAAAUAUGUCAAUCUACAAAACAAACACAGUAAGAAUUAAAGUGGGUCCUAUUUAUAAUUCAGGAUAGAGGUUUUUGCAGCGCAACUGAUUAGAUGACUCACCUGUGAGUGUGGCAUUAAAUGUGUUAAUAUGCUUGCCUCCAUUGUUUGUCAAAUAACAAGUAAAAUUUCUAUUGAUCACCUGUCACAAAGUUGUAGAUUCACCUUAUUACCAUAUAGUUGUGCAGGAAGUGAAAUAUUAAGUACACUAAAACUGAA